rnacentral:rRNA from 1 species
AGCGAACGCUGGCGGCAGGCCUAACACAUGCAAGUCGAACGAACCUUUCGGGGUUAGUGGCGGACGGGUGAGUAACACGUGGGAACGUGCCCUUAGGUUCGGAAUAACUCAGGGAAACUUGUGCUAAUACCGAAUGUGCCCUUCGGGGGAAAGAUUAAUCGCCUUUAGAGCGGCCCGCGUCUGAUUAGCUAGUUGGUUGAGGUAAUGGCUCACCAAGGCGACGAUCAGUAGCUGGUCUGAGAGGAUGAUCAGCCACAUUGGGACUGAGACACGGCCCAAACUCCUACGGGAGGCAGCAGUGGGGAAUCUUGCGCAAUGGGCGAAAGCCUGACGCAGCCAUGCCGCGUGAAUGAUGAAGGUCGUAGGAUUGUAAAAUUCUUUCACCGGGGACGAUAAUGACGGUACCCGGAGAAGAAGCCCCGGCUAACUUCGUG